rnacentral:rRNA from 1 species
UACGGGGGGGGCAAGCGUUGUUCGGAAUUACUGGGCGUAAAGGGCUCGUAGGUGGCCAACUAAGUCAGACGUGAAAUCCCUCAACUUAACCGGGAAACUGCGUCUGAUACUGGUUGGCUUGAGUUUGGGAGAGGGAUGCGGAAUUCCAGGUGUAGCGGUGAAAUGCGUAGAUAUCGGGAGGAACACCAGAGGCGAAGGCGGCUUCCUGGACCGGUCCUGACACUGAGGAGCGAAAGCGUGGGGAGCGAUCCGG